rnacentral:rRNA from 1 species
CCUACGGGAGGCAGCAGUAGGGAAUCUUCGGCAAUGGACGAAAGUCUGACCGAGCAACGCCGCGUGAGUGAAGAAGGUUUUCGGAUCGUAAAACUCUGUUGGUAGAGAAGAACGUUGGUGAGAGUGGAAAGCUCAUCAAGUGACGGUAACUACCCAGAAAGGGACGGCUAACUACGUGCCAGCAGCCGCGGUAAUAAU